UCUAAGUGCGUGUCACAGCCGUGGAGCAGCGCAACUGAAAACCAUCUCCCAUAGUUUUUAGUCUGCUGCAGGGAGACGAACCUGGAGUAGCGAAGGGUGCGUCUGGAGCAGGAUGGCAGAUUGAGGUCAGACAGCCUCCUAUACCCCCCAGGAAGUCAUUCUUGGUGAAGUCGUCCACUGCCAUCGGGUCCUAUGACCUCCCAUCCUUACAGGUGGAUUCAGACAGCCAAGAGGAAAACGCAUCAACGAAUUAUAGGGACAAUGGAAGCCCAUGGGAUAGCCAGACACCAGGGUCUGCCAGGUCAAGGAGCCGGUCCCCCUUUCGGCCAAACUUUGUGACUGCUAGUGACCUACGGCCUCAGAUGUCAGAGCCCCAGGAAGAAGUCAAUCUGUGUACCAAAUCUAGACUCAGCCAGCAUUACCCCAGUAUAUGUCCCACUCAGAGCCCCUGGACAAGAGACAGAACCCAGGCUUCCCAGGCCUCUCCUGAAGCUACAGCAAUGUGAUGGAUACCCAGACCUCCAAUCAGACUGGCUCCCUAACAGACUAUCAGAGCCCCCGUUUGAACCCCCGUCCUGUUCACCGCCCUCCAGUUCCUCCCAAGAACUAUGGCACUCUUCUGAGGCCCUCUCCAUCUGCAGGCCUUCGACGGGUUUAGCAAAAAAUAAGCCUUCCCCUUCUCCUCUCCCAUGGCCUGUGAGACCCCCUCGGUCCCCCAUGAUGUCCCGCUCCUCUUCAGCCUCUUCAGAGUAUGAGAGGACGCUACCAGAAAUGCACCUACUACAGCCUCAGGAUUCCAUAGAACGAAAGCACAGUCAGUCCCCUCGCCCUGUUCGACCACCAGCUCUACCCAAAUCUGAACCCCUGUCCUUGUAUGGGGGCUAUGACGUCAAUAGAUCCCAGAGUCCGACGGCUGGGAAAACAUGCCUCCUUCAUUUUAUGGCCUCAGUCUAGAGGAUGAAACCAGGGAGUUCAACCAGAGGUGCCUCUAUGUGAAAAAUGGCCUCUGUCUGUUCAACUGCCUGCUAAUGAAGCGUAACGAUACCCUGCGAGGCCUUUUCACAGAGCUCAACGACCUCGCCGAGAAGCCGGACAAAGUGCAAAAAAACAAAACCAUGGCUAUCGUAGGGGGCACCACGGACGCCAUGAGAGGGAAGGUGGCCGUUGUGGACAUCGUCCUCACCCACAUGACCAUGUGUUCCUCCCUCAUAGCCACAGCAAUUGGGUGGGCAUGGUGGCGUUGGGUAGUGGGAUAGGCAUCAAAGCGGCCAUGGGCAACAACAAAAUCAACUCUGUGGACCGGAAGAUGCUGGAGGAGGUGGGUGCAGAAGUACAAAGCCGAGAUAGCAGACUUGGAGUUGUGUCUUUGUUUCAUCCACAGUGGGAUGGCUGAGCUGAGGCGGUACAACUUCCACAGGCUGCAUCAUGCUGAUCCUGAGGCCCUGCGGAUAGCCAGGGUGCUGGAGGCAGCGCAUCCUGGGUGUAAUAAGUCCCAACAGUUGGGCAUGAAGUCUGAUCCUAAAGGGUUUGCCAGAGACAUGGACCUGUAUUAUACUGACAAGGACAGCCAGAGGCUGAAAAGGGCUCUGAGACUAAGUUUGCAACCAGGAUUCGUGGUGUGACCCAAGAGCUACAGGCGGAGCUCAAUGAACUGCACCAAGUGUGGCAGACUUUCUCUCUAGCAGCCAGUAGAUUUUGAGGUGUGUGUGCUGUCGUUAAUGCAGUAAAGGUCUGGCAAUGUUUUGGACACAUACAAGAUAUUGUUUUUUUGAGGGAGGCUCGGAGGGAGGUGCUCAUUUUUGAAGUGGGUUGCCCUAUUGAAGCCUACAUGAAGCCAGCCUUUGCUGACAAGUUACUGAAAUGUCAGCCCCCGUGAACAGCCUCGGUUAUCAGUGCAAACUUGCAGUGCUAGUAUUUGGGAGUCUCAGCCAGGUACAUAGGCUGACAGUACGUGGCUUUCAGAUUGCAGGCGAGAAUAGGACAACGGCAAAGCAGCGGUACUGCUCUGUGUCCGCUGUUUGGGCAGCCAUGGUGCUUUCUGUAUCCAUAAGUCUCCAUAUAUCCAUGAACUUUGAAAUGUUUGAAUCCUCUCGACUGUAAUGUGAUAUGUAGCUUCAAAUAAAUUAUUUAAAAUGUACGAGUAUGAAUGUGAAAUGUUUUACUAUGCAGUGUGUCCUGCUGAGAAUAUC